rnacentral:rRNA from 1 species
UUACCAGCACGUUAUGGUGGGCACUCUAAGGAGACUGACCGGUGGACAACCGGAGGAAGGUGGGGAUGACGUCAAGUCAUCCAUGGCCCUUACGGCCUGGGCUACACACGUGCUACAAUGGUCGGUACAAAGGGUUGCCAAGCCGCGAGGUGGAGCUAAUCCCAUAAAACCGAUCGUAGUCCGGAUCGCAGUCUGCAACUCGACUGCGUGAAGUCGGAAUCGCUAGUAAUCGUGAAUCAGAAUGUCACGGUGAAUACGUUCCCGGGCCUU